rnacentral:rRNA from 1 species
AGCUUUUUGAAUAUAUAAAAAGUAUUUUCUGCCCGGUGUGUAAAUUAACGGCUGCGGUACUCUGACCGUGCGAAGGUAGCAUAAUCAUUUGCCUUUUAAUUGGAGGCUGGUAUGAAUGGAGUCACAGAAGAUAAGCUUUCUUUUAAUUUUUAAUAUAAAUUUUUGUUAAAGUGAAGAAACUUUAUUUUAGAAAAAAGACGAGAAGACCCUAUCGAGUUUUAUCUUUUCUUUUUAUUUUUUUCUUUUUAUUUAUAAAUAAGAUUAAUAUAAAGAUAGAUUGGAUUGGGGCGAUUAAGGAAAUUUUUUAACUUCCUUUGUUAUUUUAUAUUUUUAUUUUUUAAUGAUCCUUAUUUUUAGGAUUAAAAGAUUAAAUUACCGUAGGGAUAACAGCGUAAUCUUUUUGGAGAGUUCUUAUCGAUAAAAGGGAUUGCGACCUCGAUGUUGGACUAAGAUAAUCUUAAGGUGUAGAAGCUU